rnacentral:piRNA from 2 species
UGGGAAGCUAAGAAACCAGAUUAUUGGCA